rnacentral:rRNA from 1 species
AGGAUGAACGCUGGCGGCGUGCCUAACACAUGCAAGUCGAACGUCCUUCUUCUUCGGAAGAAGGGAGUGGCGGACGGGUGAGUACCACGUGGGUUAUCUACCGUGAGGUGAGGAAUACCGGCGAGAAAUCGCCGACAAGACCGCAUAGGCUCGAUGCAAGUCGAGCAAAGCUCGCUCGCAAGAGGGAGCGCCACACGAGGAGCCUGCGCCCGAUUAGCUGGCUGGUGGAGUAAUGGUUCACCAGGGCGACGAUCGGUAGCUGGUCUGAGAGGACGAUCAGCCACACUGGGAUUGAGAACGGCCCAGACUCCUACGGGGGGCAGCAGUGAGGAAUUUUCGUCAAUGGGGGCAACCCUGAACGAGCAACGCCGCGUGCAGGAAGAAGGUUUUCGGAUCGUAAACUGCUUUUCUCGGGGACGAGCAAGGACGGUACCCGAGGAAGAAGCCCCGGCUAACUACGUGCCAGCAGCCGCGGUAA